rnacentral:rRNA from 1 species
AAUCAACGCUGGCGGCGUGCCUCAGACAUGCAAGUCGAACGAUUAAACUUUCCUUCGGGAAAGAUAUAAAGUGGCGCACGGGUGAGUAACACGUAGGUAAUGUACCUUUGGGUGGGGAAUAACUUAGGGAAACUUAAGCUAAUACCGCAUAAUGCAGCGGCUCCUUCGGGAGACAGUUGUUAAAGAUUUAUCGCCUAAAGAGCAGCCUGCGGCAGAUUAGCUAGUUGGUAAGGUAACGGCUUACCAAGGCGACGAUCUGUAUCCGACCUGAGAGGGUGGUCGGACACACUGACACUGAAUAACGGGUCAGACUCCUACGGGA